UGCCCAAUGCGGGAAUCGAACCCGGGUCCUAGUGGUCGAAAACCAAACGGUUUACCCAGCCUUCCACUCACCCC